rnacentral:RNase_P_RNA from 1 species
GCAGCUCGCUAGGCGAUCGCUUGCAGCUACUGCAAGAGGAAAGUCCGGGCAGCAAAGGAUACGACAGUCGCUAACGGCGACCGGGGGUAACCCUAGGGAAAGUGCCACAGAAACAAUACCGCCUCGUAACAGGCGCCCGCAAGGUCAAUGGCUUAACACCGAAGGCUCGGCGAGCACACCUGAGGUAAGGGUGAAAAGAGUGGGGUAAGAGCCCACAGCGCCCCAUGGUGACAUGGGGGGAAGGUAAACCCUGUCGGCUGCAAGGAGGUCCAGCAUGAAGAGUGUUCCGCUCGCUGAACCGAUACCCGCUUGAGUAUAUCAGCAAUGGUGUAACUAGAUAGAUGAUCGUCCACGACAAAACCCGGCUUAUAGGCCUGCUGCCAAC